rnacentral:rRNA from 1 species
AUUGAACGCUGGCGGCAUGCCUUACACAUGCAAGUCGAACGGCAGCACGGGAGCAAUCCUGGUGGCGAGUGGCGAACGGGUGAGUAAUAUAUCGGAACGUGCCCAGUCGUGGGGAUAACGUAGCGAAAGCUACGCUAAUACCGCAUACGAUCUAUGGAUGAAAGCGGGGGAUCGCAAGACCUCGCGCGAUUGGAGCGGCCGAUAUCAGAUUAGGUAGUUGGUGAGGUAAAGGCUCGCCAAGCCGACGAUCUGUAGCUGGUCUGAGAGGACGACCAGCCACACUGGGACUGAGACACGGCCCAGACUCCUACGGGAGGCAGCAGUGGGGAAUUUUUGGGACAAUGGGCGCAAGCCUGAUCCAGCAAUGCCGCGUGCAGGAUGAAGGCCUCGGUUGUAACUGCUUUGUACG